UUCCUCAAAAAAAAAAAGAAAAGAAAAGAAAAGAAAAGAAGAAAGUCGCAGAUACCUCAAGUUGAAGCUCCUGGCCUUGCCCCUGCUUCCCGGAGCAGUCCAUGAGACAGCUCUUCCCAGUUCCCAGUGGGACUCUGGGGAGGACAGAUUAAAAGCCGCUAGAGAUCCUCUCAAGUUCUAGGAAGCCCAGCCCCAGAAGGCAGCAGUGUCACAUCACAGCUCUACUCAGGGGGAAAGAAACCUUUUAUGAUUGGAGACAAAGAUGUCACCGGCUGGGGAACUUUCUCUCUGCUUCAGCAAAAUAGAAGAGCAGGCAAAGUGUGGGAUUCUCAAACUUUAGCCUACAGUGGACCUGCCCAAGGGACCUUGACAAACAGGUGGACUUGCAGGCUCCUCCCCCCGCGGUCCCCAUCCUGAUUCCCCAGGUGUGGAAUGGAGCCAAAGGAAUCAGCGUUGUAACCAGCCCUCCAUGUGGUUCUGAUGCAGAUGGUACAAAACCUGCAUUUUGAGAACAGUAAGCAUAAAGGAAGCAGAGGACACACGACCUGACAAAGGGUACUCUGGAGAUGAUGUGGAUCCUGAGGAAGUGCUUGCGGUCCUUCAGGAGUCCAUUACUCUACCCCUGGAAAUACCAUCUGGUGAAGAGGUUGAGGACAUCAUCUGGUCCUCCCGCAUAAGGCUUGCCACUGUGGUGCCAGGGAAAGAGGGACAUCCAGACACCAUCACAGUGACCAACUCUCGCUACCAGGGCCGAGUGAGCUUCUUGGGCCCCAGCUACUCCCUGCACAUCAGCAAUGUGACCUGGGAGGACUCAGGGUCUUACAAAGCUCAAGUCAAUCUGAGGACAUCCCAGAUCUCCACCACGCAGCAUUACAAUCUACGUGUCUAUCGACGGCUGUCAGAGCCUCAAAUCACUGUGAACUUUGAGAUCUCUGCGGAAGGUCCCUGUAAUAUGUCCCUGACCUGCUCUGUAGAGAAGGCAGGGCUGGAUGUGACCUACAGCUGGAUAUCCCGGGAGGACGGUGCUGACACAGCUCGUGAAGGCUCUGUCUUCAGCACAUCCUGGAGGCCUGGGGACAAUGCCCUCUCCUAUACCUGUAGGGCCGGCAACCCCGUCAGCAACGUCAGUUCCCGUCUCAUCCCUGCUGGGCCCUUCUGUGCAGAUCCUGGCUACCCUUUGGAGAAGGCCUCCACUUCCUUCUGCCUCCUGGCCAAGGGAUUGCUCCUUCUCUUGCUCUUGGUGAUUCUGGCCGUGGGACUCUGGUAUAUCCAAGUCCAGACAAGAUGCAAAACGCCAAGGAUGAAGACAUUCAGGAGAAACAGAAGGAAACUGAGAAAGAAGGGGAAGCCUGAUCCCAGCUGGGCCUGAUUGCCCCAUGGAGACCCCAGUUCAGAGCUUUGUUUCUUUCCAGCCCCCGGGGAAUCCUUCCUCUUCUCCCAGGGGGGUGAGGGGUGGAUGUCCAACGGGCCAUACUCCCAAGGGAAGAUUGUCUGACAAUAAACUAAAACGA